GGUGAUGUGUCAGAGUGGAUUAUUGAGACAGUCUUGAAAACUGUUGAUGUUUACACAUCCGUGGGUUCAAAUCCCACCGUCACCGCCA
rnacentral:tRNA from 1 species